rnacentral:rRNA from 1 species
GUCUCGCCUGCCCACUGAUCCUAGAUUCAACGGCCGCGGUAUCUUGACCGUGCUAAGGUAGCGUAAUCACUUGUCUUUUAAAUGAAGACCCGUAUGAAAGGCUUGACGAGGGCUUAACUGUCUCCUUUUUCCAGUCAAUGAAACUGAUCUCCCCGUGCAGAAGCGGGGAUAAAAACAUAAGACGAGAAGACCCUAUGGAGCUUUAGAUAUAAGGGCAGACUAUCUUUACUAACCCUGAACAAGAAACAAAUUUAUUAGUAACUGCCCCCAUCUUAGGUUGGGGCGACCCUGGGGAAACAAAAAACCCCCAUGUGGAAGGGGGAACCUAAAACCCCUAGAAACCCGAAACACAAUUCUAAUUAACAGAACUUCUGACCAAACAUGAUCCGGCUAAGCCGAUUAACGAAACAAGUUACCCUAGGGAUAACAGCGCUAUCCCCUUUUAAAGACCGUAUUAACAAGGGGGCUUACGACCUCGAUGUUGGAUCAGGGCAUCCUAAUGGUGCAGCCGCUAUUAAGGGUUCGUUUGUUCAACGAUUAAAGUCCUACGUGAUCU